rnacentral:rRNA from 1 species
UGAGCAAUCUGCCCUUCUCAUCGGAAUAAGCGUUGGAAACGACGUCUAAUGCCGAAUACGACCUCCUUUCGCAUGAUCGGAGGUGGAAAGCUCCGGCGGAGAAGGAUGAGCUCGCGGCCUAUCAGCUAGUUGGUGGGGUAACGGCUCACCAAGGCUUCGACGGGUAGCCGGCCUGAGAGGGCGACCGGCCACACUGGGACUGAGAUACGGCCCAGACUCCUACGGGAGGNAG